rnacentral:other from 1 species
GUUGUACUGGCGUUGUGGCUUACCAGCUUGAGCCGAUACGUUCUGAACGGGAGCUUACCUACCCUGGCUGUGUGAAGCCCUCAUGGGGUUGCCUGAUGUCAGGGUGCUGCGCCCACCUUCACGUGAAGGGUUCAGUAGAGUAGGUCACAACGCCAGUACAAUU